rnacentral:lncRNA from 1 species
CCAGGUGGGUUUUGGGGAUCUCGGGUGGGUUCCAGAUGGGAUCUCAGGUGGGUUUAGGUGGUUCCAGGUGGGUUUGGGUAUCUCAGGUGGGUUCCAGGUGGGUUCUCAGGUGGGUUUAGAUGGUUCCAGUUGGGUUUUGGGUAUCUCAGGUGGGAUCUCAAGUGGGUUCCAGGUGGGUUUUGGGUAUCUCAGGUGAGUUUUAUGGAUUUUGGGGAUCUCAGGUGGGUUCCAGGUGAUCUCAGGUGGGUUCCAGGUGGGUUUUAUGGAUUUUGGAGAUCUCAGGUGGGGUCUCAGGUGGGUUUAGGUGGUUCCAGGUGGGUUUUGGGGAUCUCGGGUGGUUCCAGGUGGGACCUCAGAUGGAUUUGGGUAUCUCAGGUGGGAUCUCAGGUGGGUUUAGGUGGUUCCAGUUGGGUUUUGAGUAUCUCAGGUGGGUUCCAGGUGGGACCUCAGGUGAGUUUGGAGAUCCAGGUGGGUUCCAGUUGGGUUUGGGUAUCUCAGGUGAAUUUGGGGGAUCUCAGGUGGUUUCAGGUGGGAUCUCAGGUGGGUUCCAGGUGGGGAUUUUGCUAUCUCAGGUGGGUUUGGAGAUCUCAGGUGGUUCUAGGUGGGUUUGGGUAUCUCAGGUGGGUUUUAUGGAUUUUGGGUAUCUCAGGUGGUUCCAGGUGGGACCUCAGGUGGGUUUGGGUAUCUCAGGUGGGAUCUCAGGUGGGUUUGGGUAUCUCAAAUGGGUUUCAGUUGGGUUUUUGCUAUCUCAGGUGGGUUCCAGUUGGGUUUGGGGAUCUCAGGUGGUUCCAGGUGGGUUUUAUGGAUUUGGGGAUCUCAGGUGGGUUUACGUGGUUCCAGGUGGAUUUUGGGUAUCUCAGGUGGGUUCCAGGUGGUUCUAGGUGGGUUCCAGGUGAUCUCAGGUGGGUUCCAGGUGGGUUUAGAUGGUUCCAGUUGGGUUUUGGGUAUCUCAAAUGGGUUCCAGGUGGGUUUUGGGUAUCUCAGGUGGGAUCUCAGGUGGGUUUUAUGGACUUGGGGAUCUCAGGUGGGUUCCAGGUGGGAUCUCAGGUGGGUCUGGGUGUCUCAGGUGGGACCUCAGGUGGAUUUUGGGUAUCUCAGGUGGGUUCCAGGUGGGAUCUCAGGUGGGUUCCAGGUGGGAUC